AAAGUCGUAACAAGGUCUCCGUUGGUGAACCAGCGGAGGGAUCAUUACCGAGUUUACAACUCCCAAACCCCUGUGAACAUACCUUAUGUUGCCUCGGCGGAUCAGCCCGCGCCCCGUAAAAAGGGACGGCCCGCCGCAGGAACCCUAAACUCUGUUUUUAGUGGAACUUCUGAGUAUAAAAAACAAAUAAAUCAAAACUUUCAACAACGGAUCUCUUGGUUCUGGCAUCGAUGAAGAACGCAGCAAAAUGCGAUAAGUAAUGUGAAUUGCAGAAUUCAGUGAAUCAUCGAAUCUUUGAACGCACAUUGCGCCCGCCAGUAUUCUGGCGGGCAUGCCUGUUCGAGCGUCAUUUCAACCCUCAAGCCCAGCUUGGUGUUGGGAGCUGCAGUCCUGCUGCACUCCCCAAAUACAUUGGCGGUCACGUCGAGCUUCCAUAGCGUAGUAAUUUACAUAUCGUUACUGGUAAUCGUCGCGGCCACGCCGUUAAACCCCAACUUCUGAAUGUUGACCUCGGAUCAGGUAGGAAUACCCGCUGAACUUAAGCUAUCAAUA
rnacentral:rRNA from 1 species